AACGAACGCUGGCGGCAUGCCUAACACAUGCAAGUCGAACGAGACCUUCGGGUCUAGUGGCGCACGGGUGCGUAACGCGUGGGAACCUGCCCUUAGGUUCGGAAUAACUCCCCGAAAGGGGUGCUAAUACCGGAUAAUGUCUUCGGACCAAAGAUUUAUCGCCUUUGGAUGGGCCCGCGUUGGAUUAGCUAGUUGGUAGGGUAAAAGCCUACCAAGGCGACGAUCCAUAGCUGGUCUGAGAGGAUGGUCAGCCACACUGGGACUGAGACACGGCCCAGACUCCUACGGGAGGCAGCAGUGGGGAAUAUUGGACAAUGGGCGAAAGCCUGAUCCAGCAAUGCCGCGUGAGUGAUGAAGUCCUUAGGGUUGUAAAGCUCUUUUACCCGGGAUGAUAAUGACAGUACCGGGAGAAUAAGCUCCGGCUAACUCCGUG
rnacentral:rRNA from 1 species